rnacentral:rRNA from 1 species
CUGGUACGUACUGGCUUUACUGGUUCCUCCUUCUUGAAGAACUGUAAUGUCGUUAAUUUGGUGUUGCAGGGAAACAGGACUGUUACUUUGAAAAAAUUAGAGUGUUUAAAGUAAGCUAACGCUUGAAUACAUUAGCAUGGAAUAAUGAAAUAGGACGUUUGAUCCUAUUUUGUUGGUUUCUAGGAUUGACGUAAUGAUUAAUAGGGAUAGUUGGGGGCAUUAGUAUUCAAUUGUCAGAGGUGAAAUUCUUGGAUUUAUUGAAGACUAACUACUGCGAAAGCAUUUGCCAAGGAUGUUUUCAUUAAUCAAGAACGAAAGUUAGGGGAUCGAAAACGAUCAGAUACCGUCGUAGUCUUAACCAUAAACUAUGCCGACAAGGGAUCGGAUGAUGUU